UUUUUUUUGAGCUACAUUGCUUUGAACUUUUGAACCACUUAAAAUGAGAUUGGUGUUUUUCUUGCGUGCAAAAAGGAGAGUUGCAAAUCAUUUGGGAAAUUCAACUCGCAUUUUGCUGAAAUUCAAAAGAGGGCAGCAGACACAGACACCCAUACUAAACAAAAAGGAGGCCUGCCUUUGUUUGUUUGGAUCCCCCCCAUCCCCGUCCACACCCUUCCUUUGGCCAAUCCAUAGUGCACUGUGCCCACUGAUAAGCGCACCAGUUAUCGCAUGAAACUUAGUUGGGCGAGUAUGCCUGGCAACAAAAACAAGGGAAUUAUAAGGCAACUCAAAUAAACUGUGAGAAAUCCA